rnacentral:rRNA from 1 species
UACAGAGGGUGCAAGCGUUAAUCGGAAUUACUGGGCGUAAAGCGCGCGUAGGUGGUUUGUUAAGUUGGAUGUGAAAUCCCCGGGCUCAACCUGGGAACUGCAUUCAAAACUGACUGACUAGAGUGUGGUAGAGGGUGGUGGAAUUUCCUGUGUAGCGGUGAAAUGCGUAGAUAUAGGAAUGAUUACUUAAGGAGAAGGCGACCACCGAGAUCUACACUGACACUGAGGCGCGAAAGCGUGGGGAGCAAACAGG